rnacentral:snRNA from 1 species
GGAGGUGAGGACGAUCUGGCUGUGACAUCUGUCACCCCAUUGGUCACCAGGGUUGAUUUGGCUGAUCUGGUUAAGUGGUGUCCCCUUCCUCCCUCACCACUCCACGUGUGUCCCUCCUGAACUGCACGCUCAGUCCAAGAGGAUGACCAUUCCUGAUAGAGAAGGACUGGUCUUUGGUCAAAAGUAUGCUAGUAGCUGCACUCUCCUGCUAGAACCUCCAAACAGGCUCUCAAAAGCAGGAUAGGACUAUAGUGGAGUGGGCGUUUUCCUCUCCCCACAGACUCUGAACAUGCUAACACAAAACCUUCA